GAGCUGCUAGUCCAAUAAAGACAACUGAUUUCGACUUAGUAAAUUAUGGUUCAAACCCAUAGCGCCUCU
rnacentral:tRNA from 1 species